GACCGCGUAGCUCAGUUGGAAGAGCAUUGGGCUAGUAUUCGAAAGGUCGUAGGUUCGAAUCCCACCAUGGCCG
rnacentral:tRNA from 1 species